rnacentral:rRNA from 1 species
GUUGGGUAGGGGAGCGUUCUGUAAGCCUGCGAAGGUGUACUGUGAGGUAUGCUGGAGGUAUCAGAAGUGCGAAUGCUGACAUAAGUAACGAUAAUGCGGGUGAAAAACCCGCACGCCGGAAGACCAAGGGUUCCUGUCCAACGUUAAUCGGGGCAGGGUGAGUCGACCCCUAAGGCGAGGCUGAAAAGCGUAGUCGAUGGGAAACGGGUUAAUAUUCCCGUACUGGUGGUAACUGCGAUGGGGGAACGGAGAAGGCUAGGUUGUCCGGGCGACGGUCGUCCCGGUUCAAGCAGGUAGGCAGAGUGAUUAGGCAAAUCCGGUCACUUAAUGCUGAGAUGUGAUGACGAACCACCAAGGUGGUGAAGCAAUUGAUGCCCCGCUUCCAGGAAAAGCCUCUAAGCUUCAGGUUACCAACAAUCGUACCCCAAACCGACACAGGUGGUCAGGUAGAGAAUACUCAGGCGCUUGAGAGAACUCGGGUGAAGGAACUAGGCAAAAUGGUGCCGUAACUUCGGGAGAAGGCACGCUGGCGGUAGGUAAAGUCCCUUGCGGACGGCGCUGAAGCCAGUCGAAGAUACCAGCUGGCUGCAACUGUUUAUUAAAAACACAGCACUGUGCAAACACGAAAGUGGACGUAUACGGUGUGACGCCUGCCCGGUGCUGGAAGGUUAAUUGAUGGGGUUAGCCGUAAGGCGAAGCUCCUGAUCGAAGCCCCAGUAAACGGCGGCCGUAACUAUAACGGUCCUAAGGUAGCGAAAUUCCUUGU